CCUUAUCAAGAGCGGCGGAGGGGACAGGCCCGAUGAAGCCCGGCAACCAGCGCAGAGAACCUGCGCAAGGUGCUAAAUCCUGCGGCGGAUCAGCCGGCAGAUGAGG
rnacentral:ncRNA from 1 species